rnacentral:sRNA from 1 species
GGUGAACCUGCGGAAGGACAUUAACGAAUUCUGUUGAGAAGGAAGGGAGCAGACUGUUGCUGGCCUUUUGUUGAUCGAUGGUGACGCUGGAUAACGGCUGAACCGUUUGUUUUGGCAUUGUGCACGUUUGUGACUUUUCCCUAUCGAUAGCUUUCUCCCAACCCACACCUGUGCACUCGUUGUAGGCUCUUUUUGAAAGAAAAGGGCCUAUGUUUUUCUACACACCCCAUUUGUAUGUUUAUAGAAUGUCUUUUUACGAUUACCGAGCGCUUCUUCGAGAAGAUGGUCGGUAAGUAAAGUUAAUACAACUUUCAGCAAUGGAUCUCUUGGCUCUCGCAUCGAUGAAGAACGCAGCGAAUUGCGAUAUGUAAUGUGAAUUGCAGAUUUUCAGUGAAUCAUCGAAUCUUUGAACGCACCUUGCCGCUCCUUGGUAUUCCGAGGAGCAUGCCUGUUUGAGUGUCAUUAAAUUCUCAACUCCCUUUGGUUUUGUUAUCGAAGGGGGCUUGGAUAGUGGGUUUGCCGGUGGUUGCUAAUAACCCUCGGCUUUCCUUAAAUGCAUUGGCAAAGACGAAGGCAUGAUAACGUCUUUCGGUGUGAUAAUGAUCGCCGUGGAUGGAAGUGACCUAGUUCGUACUGUGCCUAUAACCCCUUGCGUUGUUGCUGCCUUGUGCAAGUGACGGUGCUUAACUUUAAUGAACCUUUUGACCUCAAAUCAGGUAGGAUUACCCGCUGAACUUAAGCAUAUCAAUAAGCGGAGGAAAAGAAACUAACAAGGAUUCCCCUAGUAACUGCGAGUGAAGCGGGAAGAGCUCAAAUUUUGAAUCUGGCGGUCCCUUGUGGCCGUCCGAAUUGUAAUCUAGAGAAGCGUUUUCCGCGCUGGAACCGUGUACAAGUCUCCUGGAAGGGAGCGUCAUAGAGGGUGAGAAUCCCGUCUUUGACACGGACUACCAGGGCUUUUGUGAUGCGCUCUCGACGAGUCGAGUUGUUUGGGAAUGCAGCUCAAAUUGGGUGGUAAAUUCCAUCUAAAGCUAAAUACAGGCGAGAGACCGAUAGCGAACAAGUACCGUGAGGGAAAGAUGAAAAGAACUUUGGAAAGAGAGUUAAACAGUACGUGAAAUUGCUGAAAGGGAAACGCUUGAUGUCAGUCGCGUUGGCCGGGGAUCAGCCUUGCUUCAUUGCUGGGUGCACUUCCUGGUUGACGGGUCAGCAUCAAUUUUGGUUGUUGGAUAAAGGUCGAGGGGAACGUGGCACUCUUCGGGGUGUGUUAUAGCCCUUUGUUGCAUACAGCAGCUGGGAUUGAGGAACUCAGCACGACCCUUCGGGGUUUGGGGCUUUCGGGCUCACA